AACGAACGCUGGCGGCAGGCUUAACACAUGCAAGUCGAACGCAUCCUUCGGGGUGAGUGGCAGACGGGUGAGUAACGCGUGGGAACGUGCCCUUCAGUUCGGGAUAACCCAGGGAAACUUGGACUAAUACCGGAUACGUGCGAGAGCAGAAAGAUUUAUCGCUGAAGGACCGGCCCGCGUCUGAUUAGCUAGUUGGUGGGGUAAUGGCCCACCAAGGCGACGAUCAGUAGCUGGUCUGAGAGGAUGAUCAGCCACAUUGGGACUGAGACACGGCCCAAACUCCUACGGGAGGCAGCAGUGGGGAAUAUUGGACAAUGGGCGCAAGCCUGAUCCAGCCAUGCCGCGUGAGUGAUGAAGGCCUUAGGGUUGUAAAGCUCUUUCGUCCGGGACGAUAAUGACGGUACCGGAAGAAGAAGCCCCGGCUAACUUCGUGCCAGCCGCCGCAGUAACAC
rnacentral:rRNA from 1 species